UUUUAUCUUGAUGCAAAAUGGGCUUAAAGUGAGUGCAAAGAUCAUGAAAACUUGCCCUAAAUGAAAAGUCAACCAUUUCCAAAUUAAGUAACUUUUCCAAUUCCUGAUUAAAUGAUGAAUCCAUGAUCCAACCUUGAUCAAAUUUCACAUGUAUGAUCUCCUAGGCAUGGAUUUUGAGAUUCCACUCUCAAAAUGUCAGGAGUUGACUUUUUUGUCCCACAGUUGACUUUUCCCAAACUGUCUGAUUCCCGAUUCCAUUGAUCAAUUGAAGCACUUCUAGCUCAAAUAAAGAGCUGAUUUUUUGUAUGUAGACCCUUGUGGACAUAUGGAGGGC
rnacentral:lncRNA from 1 species